rnacentral:rRNA from 1 species
UACAGAGGUCUCAAGCGUUGUUCGGAUUCAUUGGCGUAAAGGGUGCGUAGGCGGCGCGGUAAGUCGGAUGUGAAAUCUCGGAGCUUAACUUCGAAACUGCAUUCGAUACUGCCGUGCUUGAGGACUGGAGAGGAGACUGGAAUUUACGGUGUAGCGGUGAAAUGCGUAGAUAUCGUAAGGAAGACCAGUGGCGAAGGCGGGUCUCUGGGCCGAUACUGACGCUGAGGAGCGAAAGCGUGGGGAGCGAACAGG